rnacentral:rRNA from 1 species
GUGUACAGCCAUGCCACCCUGAACAAGCCCGAUUCCAUCUGAUCUUGGAAGCUAAGCAGGGCCGGGCCUGUUUAGUACUUGGAUGGGAGAUCACCUAGGAAGACCAGGUGCUGUAGGCA